rnacentral:rRNA from 1 species
UACAGAGGGUGCGAGCGUUGUCCGGAAUCACUGGGCGUAAAGGGCGCGUAGGCGGCCUGCUAAGUAGAGGGUGAAAUCCUGCGGCUCAACCGCAGGGCUGCCUUCUAAACUGUCAGGCUGGAGCACGGUAGAGGCAGAUGGAAUUCCCGGUGUAGCGGCGGAAUGCGUAGAGAUCGGGAAGAACACCAGUGGCGAAGGCGGUCUGCUGGGCCGUUGCUGACGCUGAGGCGCGACAGCGUGGGGAGCAAACGGG